rnacentral:tRNA from 1 species
GGUGGGGUGGCAGAGUGGUUGAAUGUACCGGUCUUGAAAACCGGCAGACCCUUUCUAGGGUCUCGAGGGUUCGAAUCCCUCCCCCACCG